GACGAACGCUGGCGGCGUGCUUAACACAUGCAAGUCGAACGGAAAGGCCCUGCUUUUGUGGGGUGCUCGAGUGACGAACGGGUGAGUAACACGUGAGUAACCUGCCCUUGACUUUGGGAUAACUUCAGGAAACUGGGGCUAAUACCGGAUAGGAGCUCCUGCUGCAUGGUGGGGGUUGGAAAGUUUCGGCGGUUGGGGAUGGACUCGCGGCUUAUCAGCUUGUUGGUGGGGUAGUGGCUUACCAAGGCUUUGACGGGUAGCCGGCCUGAGAGGGUGACCGGCCACAUUGGGACUGAGAUACGGCCCAGACUCCUACGGGAGGCAGCAGUGGGGAAUAUUGCACAAUGGGCGGAAGCCUGAUGCAGCAACGCCGCGGGCGGGAUGACGGCCUUCGGGUUGUAAACCGCUUUCGCCUGUGACGAAGCGUGAGUGACGGUAAUGGGUAAAGAAGCACCGGCUAACUACGUG
rnacentral:rRNA from 1 species